rnacentral:lncRNA from 14 species
GGGGUGGCCGGCGCUGCCCUCCGCUAGGGAGGAGUCACACGGAAGGCACGGCGGAGUCCGUAAUUGUUCAUUUCGGCCGAGCGGAACUCGCUAAACUGCGCGCUCCGUGUCCUUGAAAAGCGGAGAGUUUCGAUUCAAAGCGGGAGCUGCGCGCGUCUCUCGUUACGUGCAUCGGGCUUUCUUUGGGAUUCAUGCCCCACACAGAACACCGAGAUCCUUCUCUAGUAUUUUUAUUUUUUGUUUCAAGCUCUGCUAGGGUUGCGUAAAUGUCAGAAAGUUUAUAAAAAAAGAAAACAACCAAAAAACCACCACUCUUUAAGGAUUAUCUCAAAACUUUAUUACAGAAGUAAAUGUACUACUGCCACUCAACACAAGCAAACCCCAAAUCGUCGGUGGGUUGUUUUUUUAGUGUUCUAUUUUCAUAUUUACUCUGAAAAAUAGGAUACCCAAACUGAAUUUCUCCGAAGUUAACAAUUAGUUAAUGUUUGACUGCCCUAUGAUAAAUGGCAAUUGAAUUGCAGCAUAAAAGAAAUUCGGAUCCCAAAGAAAUCCAUCUCUUUAGAGCUGGAGAUGAUGGUUCUAAACUCUGUUCCUGGCUAUUGUCACUGACCUGUAUGUGUGACUCUGAAAACAAAUUAAAAAAGCCUUUCUCUGUAAAAAUAAUAUUUUGAAUAAGAAUGUUGGACAUUAAUGCAUCUAAAAUGCUAAUGCUUAAAGUAAUACUUGAGGUGAAAAUGUUUCUGUAUUGUCAUUCUUUCAGUUUUUCCUCUUCUCCCCCACCAAACAGUCCUUUCUGUUUUGACAAAAUCCUGUGUUUUGCACCAAAUGUGCUGCCAGUUUCAGUUGUGUCUGCAGAGAUAUUGGCAAUUUCUGUGAGAGUUUCUACAUCUGACAGGAGUGAGCGUCAUCUCAUUAAAUAUCAGGACUGUUCUUGAAGAGAUAUUCUGCCUAGAAAGAGAAGAGUUUCCAAGUUAUUUUUAAGUCUCCAAUUCUAAAAUUCAUGCAACAUAACAAAAAUAUAGUGGAUAACAUAACUUUACACAACACUGCAGAAAGUAUUAAAUGGCUCUAAAAUGUAAUUUCUGGCAGACAUGUGAAAGAAACCUCACACCCCACAAAUACCAUCCACCUCCUUGUCCCUCUUGGUAGCAGUCACCCCAUCUCUAUUGUGAGCAAGAGAAGGAAGUGAGCCCUUUAUGACAGUAUUUGUCAUUCCAUGGAAAAUCCAAGAGUAUCCAAGGGCCUGAUUUCUGGACACAGGAAAGUAGAUGAUACUUGAUCUUGAAAAGUUAUGCAUUUGGUAAGGAAGAUCUCAUGCUCCUAGAGCUACAAGUAGUUGGCACUUAUAAGUAAGCAAAAACAUGAAAACAACUGAACAUUCUUUAUUGCCUGAAGUGGCACACAGCAUUUAAUUUUAAGCAUUUGCUUGGCUAAUAAAACAUUUAUUUUCAUUAAAACA